CCUACGGGUGGCUGCAGUCGAGAAUCAUUCACAAUGGGGGAAACCCUGAUGGUGCGACGCCGCGUGGGGGCAUGAAGGUCUUCGGAUUGGACACCCUGUCAUGUGGGAGCAAAUUAAAAAGAUAGUACCACAAGAGGAAGAGACGGCUAACUCUGUGCCAGCAGCCGCGGUAAUACAGAGGUCUCAAGCGUGGUUCGGAAUCACUGGGCGUAAGGCGUGCGUAGGCUGUUUCGUAAGUCGUGUGUGAAAGGCGCGGGCUCAACCCGCGGACGGCACAUGAUACUGGGAGACUAGAGUAAUGGAGGGGGAACCGGAAUUCUCGGUGUAGCAGUGAAAUGCGUAGAUAUCGAGAGGAACACUCGUGGCGAAGGCGGGUUCCUGGACAUUAACUGACGCUGAGGCACGAAGGCCAGGGGAGCGAAAGGGAUUAGAUACCCCGGUAGUC
rnacentral:rRNA from 1 species